AGAGUGGGUUGGGUCAUCGCGGAUCGCCGGGGAUUAUGUCUCCGAUGGUCUGAGGAAAGUCCGGACUCCACAGGGCGAGGCGCUGGGUAACUCCCAGAAGGGGUGACCCUACGGAAAGUGGCACAGAAACUAUACCGCCGCGCGCAUCGUGAUGGUGCGACUGCGGCUGGCAGGGCCUGUCAUCGGGCAGGCUGUUACCGGCUGUGGUGCGGCAAGGGUGAAAUGGUGCGGUAAGAGCGCACCAGCGGCAUGGUGACAUGUCGGCUGGCCAAACCCCGCCUGGAGCAAGGUCACAUAGGGGAACGCGCACUUCGGUGCACAGGGCGGCCCGUCCAAGUUCCCGGGUAGACCGCUACAGGCGUGCGGCAACGCACGUCGCAGAUAAAUGAUGACCGCCGUCCAGCGGCACAGAAUCCGGCUUACAGACCCACUCUCCGC
rnacentral:RNase_P_RNA from 1 species